GAUGCUGAAGAUUAGGCUCAAUAGAAUGUAGGCAAAAGACUGAGUUAACAUGGAAGAUGAACAAUAAAGAAAGUCAUGUCAUGCUAUUUACAGAAUAAAUUAAGCAUGGGAAGCAAACAACAAGGGUUAUCAGAAAGCUGGCAUAAGCUGCUGGCAAUGCUGUAGCAUCAAAUCAAGAGAUUACAUGACCUCAUUCGUCAAUCCUCCUAUCCUCCUGAGGAACAACUACAUCUUCUACCCAAUCCUCUCUGCAAUCUCGUCCUACUUCAUCCUCUGCCCCAGAUCUUCUCUGUAGACCCUCCUCAAGCGGGGAGAAGCAAGAUCAAUCUCGUCCUCCUUCAUCCUUUGUCCAGCCACGCUAGGAGCAGCCAGCCAGCAGCACCCUCUUCCCUCCAUAACGCCAUGGCCCUUGUCAGGAUAUUCAUGCCGCUGUCCUCCAAUACCUCCUGUAGAUGUUCAAUCAAGUUUCCUGUUCAGCCGCAUCAAUGUUCUCUGGAUGGAUAAGUAUUACGGAUACAUAUGUUGAACCAAACACGGUUCUCUUGUUAUCAAUACGAUUAACAAUACUUGCUGAAUCUGUUUACAAACACCUCCGAACUAGUAGCUAUUGUGGUCAGGCUUGUAGCCGCUAAUAAUCCCUGUGGUUGUGAAUACCUGACAGUGUGGGGAUAAACUCCUGCCAGGUGCUGCAGCCCUGAUAGUUCCACUGCAGCAGGUCGUGAUGGAGCACGGCAUCGACAGGGGUCAAGUAGAGCUCUGGUGCUGGCUUCUACCUAGAUUAAAUGGCAAGAUCGAGCGGAGGUGGACUUUGAUGAGGAAAUAGAAAAUGUAUCGCAGGAUAAAAAGGG
rnacentral:lncRNA from 1 species